ACACUUUAAAAAUCCUUUUAUUAUUUGGUUUGGCAAUGUAAUUUCAUAUAGAAAAACUUGUCAACGCACCUAAUGGGAGUUUUCCUUAAAGGAGGAUGAAGAUCCAGCCCACUAGCUUAGAUCGAGAUUUGCUUCAGAGCAUCAGUGGGAGAAGACCGGACCAUAUGGGAACAGCCAAGAGUCAAGCCAACUCUUCAGAAUGGGCAGAUUUCAGAGUAUAUUCUGGCACCACCUCAUGAGCAGAGAAAAUUCAAGCAUUGCCAAUUUAAAAUGAUAAUCAACAAAGUUCAUGGUACUUGCCAUAACAGCAAAGUUUACAGAAAAAAAACAUAGUUGGAAAUAAUGGAACUUCAGGGAAAUUUUUCGCUCAUGAUAUUGGACAAAACACAUAUACUAUCUCCUUGGUUGAUAACAAGGAUCUUGAGGGCAGGAACUCUGGCCAGAGCACAGGGCCUGGAACAUCUUGGGAUUGUUGAAGAGACGUCUACCCCAAGUCUUGAUGAGUUGUCACUACAGCAGGUCAUCAGUUGGAAUGGCUGGGGAUUAGACUUCUUGACUGGACUUGGCUUUAUCAUGUCUCUUGGCAGCACUGGGUAAAGAAGCUUAUGUCCCUGGUGAUAUCAAGAUCUUACCAUCCCAGCUGCUAGCCCUUCUCAGUGGUGCUGCAGCAUGGAUGUAUUGGUGGGACAAGGACUUUUUUCCUUGCCUUCACUGAAACUGUCAAUAAAAUGAUUUUUUUCUCCCA
rnacentral:lncRNA from 1 species